rnacentral:rRNA from 1 species
GAUGAACGCUGGCGGCGUGCCUAACACAUGCAAGUCGAACGAAGCUUGACGGAUGAUUUCUUCGGAAUGAAACCAGAUAUGACUUAGUGGCGGACGGGUGAGUAACACGUGAGCAACCUGCCUUUCAGAGGGGGAUAACGGCUGGAAACGGUCGCUAAUACCGCAUGAUGUGUUCGGAUGGCAUCAUCUGAACAUCAAAGAUUUAUCGCUGAAAGAUUGGCUCGCGUCUGAUUAGAUAGUUGGUGGGGUAACGGCCUACCAAGUCUACGAUCAGUAGCCGGACUGAGAGGGUGAACGGCCACAUUGGGACUGAGAUACGGCCCAGACUCCUACGGGAGGCAGCAGUGGGGAAUAUUGCACAAUGGGGGAAACCCUGAUGCAGCAACGCCGCGUGAAGGAUGACGGUUUUCGGAUUGUAAACUUCUUUUCUUAGUGACGAAGACAGUGACGGUAGCUAAGGAAUAAGCAUCGGCUAACUACGUG